AUUGAACGCUGGCGGCAGGCUUAACACAUGCAAGUCGAGCGGUAGCACAGGGGAGCUUGCUCCCUGGGUGACGAGCGGCGGACGGGUGAGUAAUGUCUGGGAAACUGCCUGAUGGAGGGGGAUAACUACUGGAAACGGUAGCUAAUACCGCAUAACGUCGCAAGACCAAAGAGGGGGACCUUCGGGCCUCUUGCCAUCAGAUGUGCCCAGAUGGGAUUAGCUAGUAGGUAGGGUAAUGGCUCACCUAGGCGACGAUCCCUAGCUGGUCUGAGAGGAUGACCAGCCACACUGGAACUGAGACACGGUCCAGACUCCUACGGGAGGCAGCAGUGGGGAAUAUUGCACAAUGGGCGCAAGCCUGAUGCAGCCAUGCCGCGUGUGUGAAGAAGGCCUUCGGGUUGUAAAGCACUUUCAGCGAGGAGGAAGGUGGUGAACUUAAUACGUUCAUCAAUUGACGUUACUCGCAGAAGAAGCACCGGCUAACUCCGUG
rnacentral:rRNA from 1 species